ACUUUUACAUGUACUUUAUACCUGUAGAUUGAUUUCAACAAGCAUUGAAGACAAGUGGAAGGAAUGUUAGGGUUUUCAGGUAGUUAGACAUUGCUCAUAUCAUAUUCACAGAAAAUAACCCUCUCUCUCAGACCCUGGUCCUCUCCGGGGAGGCCUUGCACUGCCCUCAAUGCAUUAUCAUUGUGCAGAAAAAUGAGGGCUGUGAUUGGCUGCGUUGCACUGUCUGUCACACCGAGAUCUGCUCGGUCACCAGAGGGUGGCCCUGGGGGUGCUACCGGAAAUGUCUGUGUUUCUGUUCCCCCUAAGGGUCCGGGUGACACCAGCAAGGGUUGCAACAUCAACAACCAAAAGUGUCAGAACUGUCACUGAGAAAGACAAUAAAGGAUGUGUGUUGUGAGAGUCAGAUGGGUAGCAAGUUAGAAUGGUAGGAACCAGAAGCCAAAGUUGACCAUGCAGGACAAAUGUGUAUGUCACUCAAAGGAUUGAUGAUCUCACUGCAUGUUCAGCUCUGCACAUUUCCUGUUUGUUUUUGAUCUCCCUAUAAAGUCAUGCAAUACUUUUCAGGGACAUAUUAAACUAAGUGCCAUUCACCUUUUCAGCACUCAAAGCUAAAGUCUAAUGCCAAUGACACAGCAUUCUGUGGUUGAAACAGAGCGUACUGUGUUCUGACCGGAAAUAAUGCAAUGUUUCUGCUUAGAAACAUAAUAAAAAUAAUCUGUUUCAAACUACAUUGCGCUGUGUCAAUUAAUAGCCAUUUUGGAAGUACAUGAGUGUUCAUGUGAAAUUAAUACUUUGGCAUGUUCUGUUUUUUGUCCUGAAUGAAUAAUGCAAGGCUCUGUCACAUAGACCGGAUGUGAAUACUAAAGGUUCUGUUUAUUACUCACUGGCUCCUAUUACAAACUCAUUAUGAAGGCCGAGAAAACACUGUCUGUUUUCAUGGAAGAAUCUGUGGAAUUGCUCAGGAACUGCUGGUGUGACAUUGUGCCUUAACAGUGUGUCAAAGCUACUAAACGAGGCCUCACAACUGGUCCCUGGUACCAGUUGAAAAAAUGAAUGGAAGUGUAUAUAUAUGGAGACUUGUUUUUUAAUGCCAAAAAUAUGGGGUAAAAUCAAUAAAUUAUUGAUCUCCUUAUCUCUCAGCUAUAGGAGAAACACAAGAACAAUGUAGUGAAUGUUAUUAAAUGCGUUUGUAUGGGCUAAUAGCAGUAUAGUUCAAGGGGUCUUCAAAUGAAAAAUCAAAUAGCUAAAGGAUCCUUGGUAAAACAAUUCCAUAUCAGUAGCUAGUAAAAAAAAAUGGGAUUACAUAAUAAAAAUAGUUUGAUUGCAUACUUUUUUUACAUAAUUUAUUUUAUAAGUAGUGUACAUAUUAUUUAUUCGAUGACACCUAAAAAUCUAUUGUGAGAGACUAUAAUAUAUUUGACCUCAAAUGCAUAGUUUUGGCGCGAAAUGCAAUAAUAAAAAUUCAAGAUAGCAGAGAGUCGGCUCUUUCGACAAUAUGAACCAACGUUGAGGAAGGGGAAUUUUUAUCGCGCUGUUGGGCUGGGAGCAGCCCCGCCGAAAGCGCAGGUCUGUAUGGGUCCAGUGAUGGUUGAAGUCCCGAAAGCAUGCAGGGGAGUUCCACCGUUUCGUUUAAAAGCUUCGACUAUUUUGAGAGGAAUUUCGAGUUGAGUUCGUCUGAACCGAAGCGAGUUGGAUCACCUGCUCCAGAUAGUUGGAGCCAGGAUCGCCCAGAUGGGUACCAACUACCGGGAGUUAGUUGAACGCGUGGCGAUUUGUCUCCGAUUACUGGUGACAGGAGACUCCUACAGGACCAUUGGAUUCAGCUUCGGAGUUGGACGGUCCACGGUGGCAUGCAUUGCCCCCCCUGUGGCACAAGCCAUUUGGGACUGUGGUUGGUGAAUACAUGCCUGUCCCCAAGGAGGAAGACUGGAGGGCCAUCGCUGACUAGUUCCUGGAGAGGUGGAGUUUCCCCAACUGUCUUGGCUCCAUUGCUGGGAAAUGUAGUAAUCCAGGCUCCACUGUACUCGGAUUCGCAAGUCUACAACUACAAGGGUACAUAUUCAGUUGUACUCUUGGCUGUUGUAGAUGCCUUCUACUGUUUCCGUGUGGUCGAUGUUGGUGCUUACGGCAAGGGAAGUGAUGGCGGGACCCCCCGGGACUCUGCCUUCGGCCAGGCACUUCAGGAUGGCAUCCUGGAGAUUCUACCACCUGCAUCACUCCCUGGGGUUGAAGACCUGGGACCUGUUCCCCACGUCUUUGUCGAUGACGAGGCCUUCCUUCCCUUUGAGACCCAACCUCAUGAGGCCUUACAUCUUCACUGCUCUGACAAAAUGCAGGUGGAGAAAAAAAAACAAUUAGGAAGAGAAUGUGUUUUUACUUUCAUCUUGUCUUAGAUCUGUAAAGGUGUCGGGAAGAAAUAAGCAGAUUAAGUCUAAAUUAGAUAUUAAUAAACAAAUGAAACAACUGACUAUAAAAACACAAUAUAAGUAUUCAAGUACAGGAAAGAACGUGACAGGUAUGUGUGUGGUAAAAAUGUAGAAAAAAAUAAACUAUUGAAAGAGUUGUGUAUGUGCGUGUAAAAAUGGCACAACUGCAGACAGAUACAGGCACUACUCAUAAAGCCUAGAUGUAGUAGGGGAACUUCAGACAUGGCCAUAAAGAGAGAGAGGGCAGGGCACUGGAGAUCUGAGGGACAGAGAGGAGUGGAGGAGAGUGAAUGUGUAGCCACAAUACAGGUAAACACACAUUUCACCUUUAGUCUUGUAAAAGAACAACAAGAGCAUCUGAAUUCUCCGGUGUGUCAGCUUCAAUUCAGUCAAUUUUCACGCAAUCUAUGUACAACUAAUAAUGAAUGCUAUCCUAAGUAUUGAGAACCUACUAACAAGGACAUAGUAAGCGGAAUAAAAUUGGAAAAUCUCAAUAGAGGACAGUUGGAAAAUCUCAGUUGCAUUUCCUUGAUUCCUUGCAUCCUCUGUCACGUUCUGACCUUAGUUCCUUUAUGUCUUUGUGUUAGUUUGGUCAGGGUGUGAGUUGGGGUGGGUAGUCUGUUCUUUUUUCUAUGUUGUAUUUCUGUGUUUGGCCUGGUAUGAGGCAGCUGUCGAUCGUUGUCUCUGAUUGAGAAACAUACUUGGGUAGCCUGUUUUCCCCAUUUUGGUUGUGGGUGAUUGUUUUCUGUGUAUUCCUUACAGAACUUUUUCGUUCUCGCUCGUUAUUAUUGUUGUCAUUCCAGUGAUCAGUUUAUUUUGUGUAUUAAAAUGAACACUUACAUUGCUG